AUUGAACGCUGGCGGCAUGCCUUACACAUGCAAGUCGAACGGUAACGCGGGGGCAACCCUGGCGACGAGUGGCGAACGGGUGAGUAAUACAUCGGAACGUACCCAGUAGUGGGGGAUAGCUCGGCGAAAGCCGGAUUAAUACCGCAUACGACCUAUGGGUGAAAGCGGGGGAUCGCAAGACCUCGCGCUAUUGGAGCGGCCGAUGUCGGAUUAGCUAGUUGGUGAGGUAAAGGCUCACCAAGGCUACGAUCCGUAGCUGGUCUGAGAGGACGACCAGCCACACUGGGACUGAGACACGGCCCAGACUCCUACGGGAGGCAGCAGUGGGGAAUUUUGGACAAUGGGCGCAAGCCUGAUCCAGCCAUGCCGCGUGUGUGAAGAAGGCCUGGUGUAAG
rnacentral:rRNA from 1 species